GACGAACGCUGGCGGCGUGCCUAAUACAUGCAAGUCGAGCGAACAGACCAGGAGUUUGCUCCUCUGACGUUAGCGGCGGACGGGAGAGGAACAUGUGGACAACCUACCUAUAAGACUGGGAUAACUUCGGGAGACCGGAGCUAAUAGCGGAUAAUAUAUUGAACCGCAUGGUUCAAUAGUGAAAGACGGUUUUGCUGUCACUAAUAGAUGGAUCCGCGCCUCAUUAGCUAGUUGGUAAGGUAACGGAUUACCCAGGCAGGGAUGCGAAGGCGACCUGAAAGCGUGGUCGCCCACACGGGAAGUGAGAAACGGUCCAGACACCUGCGGUAGGCCGCAGUAGGGAAUCUUCCGCAAUGGGGGAGAGCCUGACGGAGCAACGCCGCGUAAGUGAUGAAGGUCUUCGGAUCGUAAAGCUCUGUUAUUAGGGAAGAACAAAUGUGUAAGUAACUGUGCACGUCUUGACGGUACCUGAUCAGAAAGCCACGGCUAACUACGUG
rnacentral:rRNA from 1 species